UACGUAGGGCGCAAGCGUUGUCCGGAAUUAUUGGGCGUAAAGAGCUCGUAGGCGGCCAGUUGCGUCUGCUGUGAAAUCCCGGGGCUCAACCCCGGGCGUGCAGUGGAUACGGGCUGGCUAGAGGUAGGUAGGGGAGAAUGGAAUUCCCGGUGUAGCGGUGAAAUGCGCAGAUAUCGGGAGGAACACCGGUGGCGAAGGCGGUUCUCUGGGCAAUUCCUGACGCUGAGGCGCGAAAGCGUGGGGAUCAAACAGG
rnacentral:rRNA from 1 species